GAUGAACGCUAGCGAGAGGCCUAACACAUGCAAGCCGAGCGGUAGAGUCUCUUCGGAGACUUGAGAGCGGCGCACGGGUGCGGAACACGUGUGCAACCUGCCUUUAUCUGGGGGAUAGCCUUUCGAAAGGAAGAUUAAUACCCCAUAAUAUACUGGAUGGCAUCAUCUGGUAUUGAAAACUCCGGUGGAUAGAGAUGGGCACGCGCAAGAUUAGAUAGUUGGUGAGGUAACGGCUCACCAAGUCUACGAUCUUUAGGGGGCCUGAGAGGGUGAUCCCCCACACUGGUACUGAGACACGGACCAGACUCCUACGGGAGGCAGCAGUGAGGAAUAUUGGACAAUGGGUGAGAGCCUGAUCCAGCCAUCCCGCGUGAAGGACGACGGCCCUAUGGGUUGUAAACUUCUUUUGUAUAGGGAUAAACCUAGAUACGUGUAUCUAGCUGAAGGUACUAUACGAAUAAGCACCGGCUAACUCCGUGCCAGCAGCCGCGGUAAUACGGAGGGUGCAAGCGUUAUCCGGAUUUAUUGGGUUUAAAGGGUCCGUAGGCUGAUUUGUAAGUCAGUGGUGAAAUCUCACAGCUUAACUGUGAAACUGCCAUUGAUACUGCAAGUCUUGAGUGUUGUUGAAGUAGCUGGAAUAAGUAGUGUAGCGGUGAAAUGCAUAGAUAUUACUUAGAACACCAAUUGCGAAGGCAGGUUACUAAGCAACAACUGACGCUGAUGGACGAAAGCGUGGGGAGCGAACAGGAUUAGAUACCCUGGUAGUCCACGCCGUAAACGAUGCUAACUCGUUUUUGGGUUUUCGGAUUCAGAGACUAAGCGAAAGUGAUAAGUUAGCCACCUGGGGAGUACGAACGCAAGUUUGAAACUCAAAGGAAUUGACGGGGGCCCGCACAAGCGGUGGAUUAUGUGGUUUAAUUCGAUGAUACGCGAGGAACCUUACCAAGGCUUAAAUGGGAAAUGACAGGUUUAGAAAUAGACUUUUCUUCGGACAUUUUUCAAGGUGCUGCAUGGUUGUCGUCAGCUCGUGCCGUGAGGUGUUAGGUUAAGUCCUGCAACGAGCGCAACCCCUGUCACUAGUUGCCAUCAUUAAGUUGGGGACUCUAGUGAGACUGCCUACGCAAGUAGAGAGGAAGGUGGGGAUGACGUCAAAUCAUCACGGCCCUUACGCCUUGGGCCACACACGUAAUACAAUGGCCGGUACAGAGGGCAGCUACACAGUGAUGUGAUGCAAAUCUCGAAAGCCGGUCUCAGUUCGGAUUGGAGUCUGCAACUCGACUCUAUGAAGCUGGAAUCGCUAGUAAUCGCGCAUCAGCCAUGGCGCGGUGAAUACGUUCCCGGGCCU
rnacentral:rRNA from 1 species